rnacentral:rRNA from 1 species
GACGAACGCUGGCGGCGUGCUUAACACAUGCAAGUCGAACGGAAAGGCCUUUUCGGAGGUACUCGAGUGGCGAACGGGUGAGUAACACGUGGGUGAUCUGCCCUGCACUCUGGGAUAAGCCUGGGAAACUGGGUCUAAUACCGGAUAGGACCGCACUUUAGUGUGUGUGGUGGAAAGUUUUUUCGGUGUAGGAUGAGCCCGCGGCCUAUCAGCUUGUUGGUGGGGUAAUGGCCUACCAAGGCGGCGACGGGUAGCCGGACUGAGAGGUUGGUCGGCCACAUUGGGACUGAGAUACGGCCCAGACUCCUACGGGAGGCAGCAGUGGGGAAUAUUGAACAAUGGGCGCAAGCCUGAUGCAGCGACGCCGCGUGGGGGAUGACGGCCUUCGGGUUGUAAACUCCUUUCGCCAGGGACGAAGCGUUUUGUGACGGUACCUGGAGAAGAAGCACCGGCUAACUACGUG